rnacentral:rRNA from 1 species
UACGUAGGGGGCAAGCGUUGUCCGGAAUCAUUGGGCGUAAAGCGCGUGUAGGCGGUUCGGUAAGUCGGCUGUGAAAGUCCAGGGCUCAACCCUGGGAUGCCGGUCGAUACUGCCGGACUAGAGUUCGGAAGAGGCGAGUGGAAUUCCCGGUGUAGCGGUGAAAUGCGCAGAUAUCGGGAGGAACACCAAUGGCGAAGGCAGCUCGCUGGGACGUUACUGACGCUGAGGUGCGAAAGCGUGGGGAGCAAACAGG